UACGUAGGGGGGCUAGCGUUGUCCGGAAUCAUUGGGCGUAAAGCGCGCGUAGCGGCCCGGUAAGUCCGCUGUAAAAGUCAAAGGCUCAACCUUUGAAUGUCAGUGGAUACUGCCGGGCUAGAGUCCGGAAGAGGCGAGUGGAACUCCUGGUGUAGCGGUGGAAUGCGCAGAUAUCAGGAAGAACACCGACGGCGAAGGCAGCUCGCUGGGACGGUACUGACGCUGAGGCGCGAAAGCGUGGGGAGCGAACAGG
rnacentral:rRNA from 1 species